AAAGAAUCAAACAAGAAAAGGGUAACAGAGAGAAAGAGGGUUCCAUAAACCACCAGAAGAAAGUGUCCUGAAGCAAAGAAUAAGAAUAUAGUAGUAUUCUUCAAUGGCGGCAUUCUCUUUAACAAUUGUAAUCUCCAUUGGAACUUUGCCUAAGUUCUGUAGCAAAUCCUCAAAAUCUUUAGAUCCUUACUUGUCAUUUCGCUGAAUCAUCUCAUCAAUUGCGGUAUGAAUUCUUUUUUUAGUAUAGAUUAUAACAUCAUUUCUACAGUUUUAGUGUUUGAUGUAAGUUAUUAACUGAAAUUUAUGCUUCUUUAUAGUUGUCUGUUGAUUGUGGCAUUACUGUAAAGUGGUACCAAGUGUUUCUUCUUCUUCUUUUCUUAGGUUGUGUUUUUUUCAGUGGCACCUCUAUUAAGAGGCAUUCAGACGUAAUCAAACACACCCUUACUUUCCUUCUUUUUUUUUCGUGCUUGUUUGUGUGGAUAUAAUAGCUUUAAUAUGAUGUACUUUGUGCUACAUAUAUGUAUCAUGAAUAACUUGGUUUUUUUCUGGCCUUAAUCCUGAAUAAAGACUUUUAAAAAAUAUAUAAAAAAUAAAAAUUAUGGCUUUAUGGGGAUUGUCUUUUAUGGGCAAUCUGAGAUCAAAAAUUCAUUUGAUAAGUUAAAGGGUGUAGUAUAGAUUUGACCUGGAACAAGUUUGAGAAGGGGAGCAGCAUUCAAAAUUUGUGUAUGCACAUGAUAUUUAAUAUCAGGUUAAUUAAAAUUUGAGAUUGAUCCUUCCUUGCAUAAACUAAUGUAUAAAUUUCACUAUAAUGUCCACAUUCAUAAAUUUAGGGGACACUCAGUUCAAUUAAUUUUGGGAGUGAGAAAUGAAUAUGAACUGUCCUGUAAAUUGUUAAUGUUCAUAGCACUGUUACCAGUUCUCAUUAUACCUUGGUUCUAUAAAAUUUAUACUCCACAAGAUCAUUUGAGGGAUGCAUGUUGCUUCUCUUACUCAUUGUGUAAGCUGUGUCAAUAGACUUUUCUACUACGUGUUUUUACCUCUCUUUAUAGAGGAGAUUUUCCAUAUUAAAGGGUGGGACCCUCAUGUUGUAUCAUUAUUAUUAAUGAGUGGAGCUAAUUAAGGGAUUAAAGAAGUUCAUUAAUAAGUGAUAUUGUAAGACCCCAACUUAUUAUAAAUAAAAUUAAAUUUUCCUCUAUUCAUUAUUCUUAAUUAAUAAGGUGUUAAUUGGAUAUAAUGCUUUGGUUAUGGGUGAAAUGUGCAAAUUUUGCAAAAUAAGCAAGUGAUUAUAAAAUAUUCAUUUCUGUCGGGGAAUAUUCUUUUUGUCUGGAAUAUCCGUACGACGGCGCAGUCAUUUGUGAGUCCCAUAACGGAAUAACUGUCGGAUGAAGAAAACGACAAAUUUGAGUUUUUAUAAAUAACGACGUAGUUACCGUUAACACUGUUGGAUUACCUGGUGGUUAAAAUACAGUAAUACGCGUGGUUGCACAGUAGCAUGCGGUAUUGCACAGUAUUAUUGAAUUAUUGAUUCGUACGUAAGAAGACACUACUCAAUAAUUGUUACAGUAAUUACUGUUCAAUAUUUUAUUUUAUUGAUUCAAUAAUUGUUGCGUUGAUAUUUUAUAUUAUUGUUGUUUCAAUAAUUGUCACUGCACAAUAUUUCCCAUUAUCAGAUCAAUAAUUCAUAUUAUUUGAAUAAUAUUAUUAGAUAGCAUUAUUGGCAAUAUCUAGAAAAUUCUGUCAAGGAGUGGUUUGGUCACCUAAUUGCGCGCCAGUAAGGAGAAAUCCUUAUUGGAAAGCCUCCUCUUUCCUGGGAACGACCUGGUUGUCAUAAUUGUGAUUCUGUGAUAUUAUUUGUGAAUAAUUAAUUAUUGAUUUAUAUGAUAAGGAAUUAUUUAUUUAAUGUGGAUAUAAUUGAUGGUUAUAUUUAUUUUAUGUGGUUAUAAAUGAAGGAGUUAAUGUUGAGGUGUUUUAUCAGUAUUUUGUCGGAUUGGAGGUAUUAAAAACUCAAAUCGGUGUUCUUAAAGCUUUAUCGCGUGAGUUAUAAUUUUAAUCCGACCGUAUCGUUGUGAUUUUUGGAUAUGUUAUACAUAUAUGAGUUGAGUAUAUGUCCACAAAUUUUGAACCGUUGAAAAUUAACGCAUGAUUUGUUAUGAAUUUUAAAAGGGGUUGAAACAGUGUUUAAAGUCAUCCGUUUGUGGAUUUCGGAUAUUUUCGGUCUGGAAUUUGGAAAAACUUUCUUCUGCAAAGUUGUAGAGAAUUCGAUUUCGUGUGGAAUGGACAUAAAAUUCGUAUUUUUCUGAUAAACGGGCUAUUUUCUAUGAAUUGUUGAAGUUUCGGUAAAUAAAAUAAUUUUUAUUAAAAAUGGGGUGGGACCCACUUUGGUUGGUGUUAAUAACAUGUGGGCUGCUGAAAUUUUCAGAAUUAAGGGGUUGGAGAUUUUCAAAGAGCAUGCGUAGAAAAAAUAUAAGGUUAUAUCAUAUUUUAAUAUUUUAGUCUCCUAUGUCGUUCUAGCAUUUUUCUAUAAAUAGGCGCUUAAGUUAGAAUUGAAAAUCACACCAGAAACAAGUUUUCUUUCUCUUUAUAUUGUGGAGUGUAUUUUUGUGAGUAUUUUGAUACUUUGAGAGUUGCUAUUCGGUGCAAGUUUCUGUCAGCACUAUAUCCGAAAUUCAGUCAGAAGUACGGUUAUUUUGAGGUAAGGGAUGUUAUUUUAUUCUUAAAUGAUAUUAUUUUCUUCAAUAUCAUUAUGCCGAAAUAUUGGUGAACGUUUUAAUCAAAUUUGGAACUUUUUGUGUCGGGAUUACUAUUCACGUAUACGACACUAUUCACGUAUACGGCACUAUUCACGAAUACGACAUUAUUCACCGAAAAAUGAAAUUUUCUUCUUUUUGUCCAAGAUGUCUAUUAUGGUUACUAUCUUUGAUUGUAUCCAUGUUUUGAUCGUUAUUUUUGAAUUCUGCUUCACAAUUGGUUAUUAUGAAGUAUUAUUGAUUUUGGAUAAACUGUUAUACGAAUCCCUAAUAUUUGUCCUUCUGUCUCACUGGAUUCGUUUUCUUUAAAAUAUUUUUCAUCAUCCUCAGUCCUAAAUGAUGAUAUUACUGAAUAUCUUUGGCCUGUAGUGCAAAGAUGAAUGAUUAACUGAUGAAUAUCUUUGGCCCGUAGUGCAAAGAUGAACAGGUGUUGAGAUGAACAUGACCAACUGGUGAUACAAAUGAAUAUCUUUGGCCUGUAGUGCAAAGAUGAAUAUUUGAUUAAAGAUGUAUAUUGAUUGUUGUUACAGGGAUAAAAAUAUUGAUGAUGGACUUUUAAAUCUUAGAAGAUAGUAGAACUCAUUCUCUACUUGACUCUUCUAAUUGAUUGUUGUUUCCGCUGCAGCUGUUGAUCUAAAACUUGUUUUCUAUUGUAUUUUAUCAGAUUUUUCCCUGUUGAAGACUAAUGAUAAUUUGUUGUAUAUUAUCUUAGUCAUAAUAUUCUUUACUGGGCUAGUUGAGCUCACCCUUUUUCUUUUUGUUCCAAUUUUCUUCUCAGGAGGUGAGAACAUAGCAGGAUCGAGUCGGGGUAUGGAGUAAUGGUUCUAGAAAGAUAUUUUAGCAGUCCUCACUAUUUCUAUAAAAUAGUGUAUGAAUAAUUAUAAUGAGGACUUAUUUGAGUGUUGAUAUUGUCUAGAAGACAAUAUUUGUAUUUAAACUCACAGUAUGUGUUGUCGUAUUCUGCACGACAAUUGUAUUAUUGAAGUAGUAGUUUUCUUUCUGUACUAUGUAUUUGGCGACUCAGAAUGGGUGUUGUAUACCUAUUUUGGGGGCGUCACAGAUAUGGCUAAUUCAAAGGGAUAAAACUGUUUGUUCUGCAACCUGUCC
rnacentral:lncRNA from 1 species